UCUGAAAUGUCAGUUGGUUUUCAACUAAAUCUGCAUUUUCCCUGGCAAUUGCAGGUUUUCUGCACGUAAAGCGCAAGAUGGAGCGUGGACAAGUUUUUUUUGUUUUUUUAAUCGUCCAAGGCAUGGAGUUCUAUUGAAGGUUUCUUCAGAUGAAAGCGUAGACUGGGGUCCGAACAAGGUGUUCUUCUUUUAACUGGCCCAGGCACAUUGUUUUAUUGAAGGUCUCCUCGGAGGAAAAGACUAGGCGCCGAGAUGUGCUGGCCUUCCUUUAUGGUCCAGACCAGUUGUUUUCAUCAAGGGAGCAUUGAGAUAGCCCUACACCUCGGAAGAAGUACCCAUAAAAGAAUUUUAGAUAUAAUAAAGAGCUAUUACAAUUUCC